UAAGAGCAUACGGUGGAUGCCUUGGCGAUAUCUGCCGACGAAGGACGUGACAAGCUGCGAAAAGCUGCGGAGAGAUGCAAAUAAUCGGCGACCCGCAGACAUCCGAAUGGAGCAAUCCGGCUGUGAUGAUGCACAGCCAUCCAUGCCCAAGAGCAUGAGAAGGGAACCGGGCGAACUGAAACAUCUAAGUAACCCGAGGAAAAGAAAUCAAACGAGAUACCCCAAGUAGCGGCGAGCGAACAGGGAAGAAGCCCAAACCGGUGAAGGAAACUUUACCGGGGUUGAGGACCAUCAGACCCGCGAAGAACCUUAGCCGAAACUGUUGGGAAACAGUGCCGAAGACAGUGAAAGCCUGGUAGGCGAAAAAGAGAAACGCGGAGAUGGCACCAGAGUACCGCGGGACACGAGAAAUCCCGUGGGAAGCCGGGGGGACCACCCUCCAAGGCAAAACACAGAUAUCGACCGAUAGCGCAUAGUACCAUGAGGGAAAGGUGAAAAGCACCCCGGGAGGGGAAUGAAAGAGAACCUGAAACCGUAUGUUUACAAGCAGUCGGAGACCGCUUAAUAAUAAGGUCGACGGCGUGCCUAUUGAAGAAUGAACCGGCGAGUUACGAAGCCUGGCAAGGUUAAGCAGGAAAUGCGGAGCCGAAGCGAAAGCGAGUCUUAAGAGGGCGCAAGUCAGGAAGCGUAGACCCGAAACCACAGUGAUCUACCCAUGUCCAGGUUGAAACACAGGUAAAAAUGUGUGGAGGACCGAACCUAUAUCCGUUGAAAAGGGUUAGGAUGAGGUGUGGGUAGGGGUGAAAUUCCAAUCGAACGUGGAGAUAGCUGGUUCUCCCCGAAAUAGCUUUAGGGCUAGCCUCAGGGAAAAGAUUGCAGGCGGUAGAGCACUGAUCAGGAGAGGGACCUACCCGGUUACCAAACCCAGUCAAACUCCGAAUGGCUGCAAUCAUACCUGGGAGUCAGACUGCGACUAAUAAGGGCCGUAGUCAAAAGGGAAACAGCCCAGACCAUCAGCUAAGGUCCCCAAUGCCGUGCUAAGUGGCGAAGGAUGUGGCAUUUCAUAAACAACCAGGAUGUUGGCUCAGAAGCAGCCACCAUUUAAAGAGUGCGUAAUAGCUCACUGGUCGAGAGACGCUGCGCCGAAAAUGUCCGGGGCUCAAGCACGGAACCGAAGCUAUGGCAUGAUAGCAAUAUCAUGGGUAGGGGAGCGUUCUUAUAAGGAAGAAGCAUGACCGGAAGGACAUGUGGACAAAUAAGAAGUGAGAAUGCCGGUAUGAGUAUCGAAAAGAAAGGUGAGAAUCCUUUCCACCGAAAGCCCGAGGGUUCCUGAGCAACGAUCGUCGACUCAGGGUAAGUCGGGACCUAAGCCGAGGCGGAAAGCGUAGGCGAUGGACAACAGGUUGAAAUUCCUGUACCGGAUCAAGUCGAUCGAGCGAAGGAGCGACGCAGGAGGGCACAUGAUCGCGCGGCUGGAAGAGCGCGUCCAAGUGCGUAUGUUGCAGCAGAGGAAAACCCCUGCAGCUAAAAGCAGAGACAUGAUGGGGAGUUAAAGGAAACUUUGACGAACUCAUGAAUCCCACACUGCCAAGAAAAACUUCUAGCGAGACAAGAUCCGCCCGUACCGUAAACCGACACAGGUAGGCGGGGAGAGAAUCCUAAGGUGCGCGGGAAAACCCUCGUUAAGGAACUCGGCAAAUUGCAUCCGUAACCUAGGGAGAAGGAUGGCCCCCGGUCAGUGAAGAGCAGAAACGCUCAGAGCUAAAAGGGGCGGCAGAAAAGAGGCCCAAGCAACUGUUUACCAAAAACACAGGUGCCUGCGAAAGCGAAAGCUGAAGUAUAGGUGCUGACGCCUGCCCGGUGCCGGAAGGUUAAGGAGAGAAGUUAGCGAAAGCGAAGCAUCGAACUGAAGCCCCGGUGAACGGCGGCCGUAACUAUAACGGUCCUAAGGUAGCGAAAUUCCUUGUCGGGUAAGUUCCGACCCGCAUGAAAGGCGUAAUGAUUUGGGCACUGUCUCAACGAGGGGCCCGGUGAAAUUGAAAUACCUGUGAAGAUGCAGGUUACCCGCGACUGGACAGAAAGACCCCAUGGAGCUUCACUGCAGCUUGAGAUUGAAUCCCGGUGACAGAUGCACAGGAUAGGUGGGAGGCGCCGAAGCAUUGCCCUAGGGCGGUGCGGAGCCGAUGUUGGGAUACCACCCUUCUGUUGCUGAGAUUCUAACGCGAGGAGUAACGACCCUGCGGACCCUCUCAGGCAGGCGGUUUGACUGGGGCGGUCGCCUCCGAAAGAGUAACGGAGGCG
rnacentral:rRNA from 1 species